rnacentral:misc_RNA from 1 species
GCAAACUUGGUCAUUUAGAGGAAGUAAAAGUCGUAACAAGGUUUCCGUAGGUGAACCUGCGGAAGGAUCAUUAACAAACAUCCACACACACACACACACCCGUGCUAUUACCGAACCGUUUUGCGCGUGCUGCUUCGCGGCGCACGCGCCAGCAUUCAUAAACCACACACACACCCAUUCUUAUUCUUACCAGUUUAACGACAACAGUAUUUAAACAAACACAACUUUCAACAAUGGAUCUCUAGGCUCCUACAUCGAUGAAGAACGCAGC